rnacentral:rRNA from 1 species
UACGUAGGGUGCGAGCGUUGUCCGGAAUUAUUGGGCGUAAAGGGCUCGUAGGCGGUUUGUCGCGUCGGGAGUGAAAACACCGGGCUUAACUCGGUGCUUGCUUUCGAUACGGGCAGACUAGAGGCAUGCAGGGGAGGAACGGAAUUCCUGGUGUAGCGGUGAAAUGCGCAGAUAUCAGGAGGAACACCGGUGGCGAAGGCGGUUCUCUGGGCAUGUCCUGACGCUGAGGAGCGAAAGUGUGGGGAGCGAACAGG